CCCGCAGCUCUGAAGCGGGGGCCGCGGCUGCAGGCGGCGCGGAGCCCCGCCAUCCCGCAGCUCUGAAGCGGGGGCCGCGGCGGGGAAGGCUCUUGGGCAGGACUGGGCUCUCCCCAACAAAAUGGUUUUUCCUCUUGUGCAGUGAGAAUGAGAUUUUGCAGGCAACUCUGUAGGUGGGGGGAAAAAAUAAAGAAAAAUAGUAGUUUUUUUUUCUUGGAACGUUGGGUAAAUUCCUUGGGAGCUGCCUCGGGGGAAUCACAGCUCAGCUUCUUCUUUUUGGAGGUGAUGGAAGCAGUGAAACAGUGCAGGGCUGCUCCUCCUCACCCUUUGGGCCUGGCAGGCUCUGGGUGCCUGGUGGAUGUUCCCUGCGCAGGGAGGUUUUCCUGGGGGUGACACUGAGGCCAGGCUGUUCCAGCUGGGAUCCCCUGUAGGACACAACAUAGCACAGCAUGGACACGCAGCUCUCACAAGGGUUUUAUGGGAGCUGUAGGAAUGCUGUGAUUCCCAAACAAAAGGGAAAUGGGCUGCUGUGAUCCCACCUCGAGCUGCUCCUUGGAUCCUUCCCUUCCCAGCUCCUUUUGCUUUCCUUCUGUGUCCCUCUCGUGGCAGCUCAGGAGAAAUGGCCCAGCUGCACCGGAAAAACUCAAUCCCAAUUUUUUUCCCUAUGGAUUUAACCCUUAAAAAAAUAAAUUGGAAUUUUGUCAGCGUAUAGACCAAAAAAAUCUGUUUAAAAACAUUUUUCGUUGUUGUUCUUUCAUUUACUGGCAUUCAAUAAAUUGAAUACCACUCGGUUGGUUUUUUCAUUUA